GACGAACGCUGGCGGCGUGCUUAACACAUGCAAGUCGAACGGAAAGGCCCUGCUUUUGUGGGGUGCUCGAGUGGCGAACGGGUGAGUAACACGUGAGUAACCUGCCCUUGACUUUGGGAUAACUUCAGGAAACUGGGGCUAAUACCGGAUAGGAGCUCCUGCUGCAUGGUGGGGGUUGGAAAGUUUCGGCGGUUGGGGAUGGACUCGCGGCUUAUCAGCUUGUUGGUGGGGUAGUGGCUUACCAAGGCUUUGACGGGUAGCCGGCCUGAGAGGGUGACCGGCCACAUUGGGACUGAGAUACGGCCCGGACUCGUACGGGAGGCAGGAGUGGGGAAGAUUGCACGAUGGGCGGAAGCCUGAUGCAGCAACGCCGCGUGCGGGAUGACGGCCUUCGGGUGGUAAACCGCUUUCGCCUGUGACGAAGCGUGGGUGACGGUAAUGGGUAAAGAAGCACCGGCUAACUACGUG
rnacentral:rRNA from 1 species